rnacentral:lncRNA from 12 species
AAAUGUUUAAAUGUAGUAAUUCCACGACUCCUCUUCUCAAACUUUGGAACAGGAAAGUCCUUCAGCUUUUAGAUGAACCAGCAGACCUUGUCUCUCUCUCCUGACUCUGUAAAUGGAAGCAAAGCUGGUGUGGUAGUGGAGUUGCUUACUACCUUUUCUCUCUUGCAGCAGCAUUUGGAAAAGCUGAAUGAAAGGUAAGGGUGGUAUUAAAACGUUGGCUGGAGGCCAAGCUGAAAUAAUAUAGCACUUUGGGGAAAGAAUGCAU